rnacentral:tRNA from 1 species
GGUGUAGCUCAACUGGUUAGAGCACCUGUUUGUGGCACAGGAGGCUGUGGGUUCAAGUCCCAUCAC